AAUUGUACAUAAAAAGAAAUAAAAAUGUGAAAGAAAGAAAAGUAAGGAUCAAAAGCAUUAUUAGAGAAAAGAACAAGCAAAUGAAAAAUAUCCUCAAACAAAUAAAUAAAAAAGAAAUGAGCAUAAAAUUUAUGUCUCAAAAUCAUAGUGCACAAAAAACGAGCUAAUAUCAACCCAUCUCUUCAACAUUGUUAGACAAAUAAG
rnacentral:lncRNA from 1 species